rfam:Triticum aestivum genome assembly, contig: Triticum_aestivum_CS42_TGACv1_scaffold_375630_5AL
CCGCUCGGCGAUGGUGAGAUCGUCUCCUUCGUUCUGAAGGGCCUGGACAUGGAGUAUAACUCGGUUGUCUCGGCCCUCUCUGCCCGCGUCGAGCCUGUCACCAUCGUCGAGCUCUACAACCAGCUUCUUAGUUUUGAAG